rnacentral:rRNA from 1 species
AGAAUCAACGCUGGCGGCGUGCCUAACACAUGCAAGUCGCACGAGAAAGGGGAGCAAUCCCUGAGUACAGUGGCGCACGGGUGAGUAACACGUGAAUAAUCUACCUCCGAGUGGGGAAUAACUGAGAGAAAUCUUAGCUAAUACCGCAUAACACUUACGAGUCAAAGCAGCAAUGCGCUUGGAGAGGAGUUCGCGGCCGACUAGUUAGUUGGCGGGGUAAUGGCCCACCAAGACUAUGAUCGGUA